rnacentral:tRNA from 3 species
GUUUAAACCCUUCCCCUGCUA